rnacentral:snoRNA from 1 species
GACCCAUGGUGAGGGCACUUUCUCAAUAAAUCCAAGUACAUCUCUCAUGCAUCAUAUAGAGUCUCUAAAUUGAUCUGAACAAAGGAAGAGAUAUCGUUCCUCAACUU